GACGUAGGGCGCGAGCGUUGUCCGGAUUUAUUGGGCGUAAAGAGCUCGUAGGCGGCUUGUCGCGUCGUUCGUGAAAACCCGGGGCUCAACUCCGGGCUUGCGGGCGAUACGGGCAGGCUAGAGUUCGGUAGGGGAGACUGGAAUUCCUGGUGUAGCGGUGAAAUGCGCAGAUAUCAGGAGGAACACCGGUGGCGAAGGCGGGUCUCUGGGCUGACACUGACGCUCAUGCACGAAAGCGUGGGGAGCAAACAGG
rnacentral:rRNA from 1 species